AGCCGAAACGGCCCCCGGGGCCGUCUGCGGAGGGGUGGCCGCCCCGCACUGAAGAUGGCAGGCCAGA
rnacentral:hammerhead_ribozyme from 1 species